AGCAGCCGCGGUAAUUCCAGCUCCAAUAGCGUAUAUUAAAGUUGCUGCAGUUAAAAAGCUCGUAGUUGAAUUUCGGGACCAUCAUGUCGGUCGUGCCUCGGUACGUACUGGCAUUGUUGGUUUCUACCUUCUGACGAACCAUGAUGUCAUUUAUUUGGUGUCGUGGGAAAUCAGGACUGUUACUUUGAAAAAUUAGAGUGUUUAAAGCAGGCUCACGCUUGAAUACAUUAGCAUGGAAUAAUGAAAUAGGACGUUUGAUUCUAUUUUGUGGUUUCUAGGAUCGACGUAAUGAUUAAUAGGGAUAGUUGGGGGCAUUAGUAUUCAAUUGUCAGAGGUGAAAUUCUUGGAUUUAUUGAAGACUAACGACUGCGAAAGCAUUUGCCAAGGAUGUUUUCAUUAAUCAAGAACGAAAGUUAGGGGAUCGAAGACGAUCAGAUACCGUCGUAGUCUUAACCAUA
rnacentral:rRNA from 1 species